rnacentral:lncRNA from 1 species
CUGUUUUGUUGAAGAGAAAACACAGGGCACAAAAAGGGGUGGCUUUCCCGAGUCCCUUGCCUCUGGAGUUCCUUUCACAGGACUGGAAAUGUUUCCUCACUGCUGCAACUUUGCUCACAGACUGAGCAGAAAAAUCCAGUUUUUUGUUUGGAUUGCCACGAAGCUUUUUUUAUCUUUGGAGGUCACAGCACUUGGGAUCUUACUGUGGAAAGAAUGUGAGGGAGAAGCAAUUCCAAAGCUUCCUGGGGGUUAAUAGCACCACUGGAUCCAGUUCAUUGUCAGUAUUGCAUCUGCACCUGGGGAGAGAAGUCUCUUACU